GAUGAAGAACGCAGUGAAAUGCGAUAAGUAGUGUGAAUUGCAGAAUUCAGUGAAUCAUCGAAUCUUUGAACGCACAUUGCGCCCCUUGGUAUUCCAUGGGGCAUGCCUGUUCGAGCGUCAUUUGUACCUUCAAGCUUUGCUUGGUGUUGGGUGUUUGUCUCGCCUUUGCGUGUAGACUCGCCUUAAAAUAAUUGGCAGCCGGCGUAUUGAUUUCGGAGCGCAGUACAUCUCGCGCUUUGCACUCAUAACGACAGCGUCCAAAAGUACAUUUUACACUCUUGACCUCGGAUCAGGUAGGGAUACCCGCUGAACUUAAGCAUAUCAAUAAGCGGAGGA
rnacentral:misc_RNA from 1 species